GAUGAACGCUGGCGGCGUGCCUAAUACAUGCCAGUCGAGCGAACACACGAGGAGCUUUCUCCCCUGACGUUAGCGGCGGACGGGUGAGUAACACGUGGAUAACCUACCUAUAAAACUGGGAUCACUUCGGGAAACCGGAGCUAAUACUUGCUCAUAUUUCGAACCGCAUGGUUCAAUAGUUAAAGCCGGUUUUCCCGUCACUUAUAGCUGCUUUCGCGCCGCAUUAGCUAGUUGGUAAGGUAACGGCUUACCAAGGCAACGAUGCGUAGCUGACCUGAGAGGCUGAUAGGCCACACUGGAACUAAGCCACGGUCAAGACUCCUACGGGAGGCAGCAGUAGGGAAUCUUCCGCAAUGGGCGAAAGCCUGACGGAGCAACGCCGCGUGAGUGAUGAAGGUCUUCGGAUCGUAAAACUCUGUUAUUAGGGAAGAACAAAUGUGUAAGUAACUAUGCACGUCUUGACGGUACCUAAUCAGAAAGCCACGGCUAACUACGUG
rnacentral:rRNA from 1 species